rnacentral:rRNA from 1 species
UAAGGAGCUUGCUCCUUUGAAGUUAGCGGCGGACGGGUGAGUAACACGUGGGUAACCUACCUAUAAGACUGGAAUAACUUCGGGAAACCGGAGCUAAUGCCGGAUAACAUUUGGAACCGCAUGGUUCUAAAGUAAAAGAUGGUUUUGCUAUCACUUAUAGAUGGACCCGCGCCGUAUUAGCUAGUUGGUAAGGUAACGGCUUACCAAGGCAACGAUACGUAGCCGACCUGAGAGGGUGAUCGGCCACACUGGAACUGAGACACGGUCCAGACUCCUACGGGAGGCAGCAGUAGGGAAUCUUCCGCAAUGGACGAAAGUCUGACGGAGCAACGCCGCGUGAGUGAUGAAGGUUUUCGGAUCGUAAAACUCUGUUAUUAGGGAAGAACAAAUGUGUAAGUAACUGUGCACAUCUUGACGGUACCUAAUCAGAAAGCCACGGCUAACUACGUGCCAGCAGCCGCGGUAAUACGUAGGUGGCAAGCGUUAUCCGGAAUUAUUGGGCGUAAAGCGCGCGUAGGCGGUUUCUUAAGUCUGAUGUGAAAGCCCACGGCUCAACCGUGGAGGGUCAUUGGAAACUGGGAAACUUGAGUACAGAAGAGG